rnacentral:rRNA from 1 species
GCUUGCCCGGUUAGCUAGUGGCAGACGGCUGAGUAACACGUAAGUAAUUUGCCCUGAAGAGGGGGAUAAUCCAGAGAAAUCUGGCCUAAUACCCCGUACCUUUCUUUCCGGCCUGCCGGAUUGAAAGAAAGGCUCCGGCGCUUUGGGAGAAGCUUGCGGCUUAUCAGGUAGUUGGUGGGGUAAUGGCCUACCAAGCCGAAGACGAGUAACCGGUGUGAGAGCACGAUCGGUCAGAGGGGGACUGAGACACGGCCCCCACUCCUACGGGAGGCAGCAGCAGGGAAUCUUGCGCAAUGGGCGAAAGCCUGACGCAGCGACACCGCGUGGAGGAUGAAGGUCCUAGGAUUGUAAACUCCUUUUAUCAGGGAAGAGAAAGGACGGUACCUGAUGAAUAAGGUUCGGCUAACUACGUGCCAGCAGCCGCGGUAAUACGUAGGAACCGAGCGUUGUCCGAAUUUACUGGGCGUAAAGAGCGCGUAGGUGGUUUGUUAAGUCUCAUGUGUAAUCUCCCGGCUCAACUGGGAGGGGUCAUGGGAUACUGGCAGACUCGAGGAUAGCAGAGGAAAGCGGAAUUCCCGGAGUAGUGGUGAAAUGCGUAGAUACCGGGAGGAACACCAGAGGCGAAGGCGGCUUUCUGGGCUAUUCCUGACGCUGAGGCGCGAAAGCGUGGGGAGCGAACCGGAUUAGAUACCCGGGUAGUCCACGCCCUAAACGAUGGAUACUAGAUGUUGGGGGUAUAGACCCCCCCAGUGUCGAAGCUAACGCGAUAAGUAUCCCGCCUGGGGAGUACGGCCGCAAGGCUAAAACUCAAAGGAAUUGACGGGGACCCGCACAAGCAGCGGAGCGUGUGGUUUAAUUCGAUGCAAAGCGAAGAACCUUACCCAGGCUUGACAUGUUUCUGAAAGCCCCCGAAACGGGGCCCUCCUUCGGGACAGAUUCACAGAUGUUGCAUGGCUGUCGUCAGCUCGUGUCGUGAGAUGUUGGGUUAAGUCCCGCAACGAGCGCAACCCCUGUCGCUAGUUAUUAUGUCUAGCGAGACUGCCCCCACUGGGGAGAGGAAGGUGGGGACGAGGUCAAGUCGUCAUGGCUCUUACGCCUGGGGCUACACACACGCUACAAUGGCCGGAAACAAUGGGCUGCCACAGCGCGAGCUGGAGCGAAUCCUCAAAGCCGGUCUCAGUUGGAAUUGCAGGCUGCAACUCGCCUGCAUGAACGUGGAGUUGCUAGUAACCGUAGGUCAGCACACUACGGUGAAUACGUUCUCGGGUCUUGUACACACCGCCCGUCAAGUCAUGGAAGUCGGUAACACUUGAAGUCGCUGGGCCAACCCUUUUGGGAGGCAGGUGCCGAGAGUGGGACUGGUGACUGGGACUAAGUCGUAACAAGGUAGCUGUAGCGGAAGCUGCGGCUGGAUCACCUCCUU